UCUCAGUGCAACGCUGGUAAAAACGUUGUUAAAGGGUUAAUAGAAGAGCCAUAUUAUGAUGACUUCCUGGAGAUGGAGUUUCAGAAAUAGCAGGAGUAUUUAAAGAGACAUAGGCCCAAUGGCAAAGCAUUAAAUUACAAAGUAAAAUUUAUUUUAAGUCGUAUUUGAUAUAUACAGCACUUUUAUAACAAGUUUUAUAACAUAGUUAAAUUUCUGUGCUAUAAAAUGACACUAUGUGCCCAGAAAACGCAUAAUACCGUUUCUUUAAAACCAUUAUGAAAGAAAAUUGAGGGUGAAUUCACACCACCCCUGCUUAGUACGUUUAAAUUGAACCCUGGUUCGUUUACCGAGAGAGCUCUGUUUGUUUGAACUCUGUUUCCACCUAAAAACCUCCGUUUUGGUUUGAUAGUGAAUGCCAAGAUGCCCAGUGACGACUCAAAAAAGCAGGAAGCCAAUUAUAGCACA